rnacentral:rRNA from 1 species
UACGAAGGGGGCUAGCGUUGCUCGGAAUGACUGGGCGUAAAGGGCGCGUAGGCGGCUCAUACAGUCAGAUGUGAAAUUCCUGGGCUUAACCUGGGGGCUGCAUUUGAUACGUGUGGGCUUGAGUGGGGAAGAGGGUCGUGGAAUUCCCAGUGUAGAGGUGAAAUUCGUAGAUAUCGGGAGGAACACCAGUGGCGAAGGCGACUUUCUGGCCUGUUCUUGACGCUGAGGCGCGAAAGCUAGGGGAGCAAACGGG